UACGAGGGGUGCAAGCGUUGCUCGGAAUUAUUGGGCGUAAAGGGUAGGUAGGUGGUCUCAUUUGUCUGGGGUGAAAGCCUUGAGCUUAACUCAAGAAGUGCCCUAGAAACGGUGAGACUGGAGUCUUGGAGAGGGUCGUGGAAUUCCCGGUGUAGCGGUGAAAUGCGUAGAGAUCGGGAGGAACACCAGAGGCGAAGGCGGCGACCUGGACAAGUACUGACACUCAACUACGAAAGCGUGGGUAGCAAACAGG
rnacentral:rRNA from 1 species